AUUGAACGCUGGCGGCAGGCUUAACACAUGCAAGUCGAGCGGAGCGAGGGUGCUUGCACCUUAGCUUAGCGGCGGACGGGUGAGUAAUGCUUAGGAAUCUGCCUAUUAGUGGGGGACAACAUUCCGAAAGGAAUGCUAAUACCGCAUACGUCCUACGGGGGAAAGCAGGGGAUCUUCGGACCUUGCGCUAAUAGAUGAGCCUAAGUCGGAUUAGCUAGGUGGUGGGGUAAAGGCCUACCAAGGCGACGAUCUGUAGCGGGUCUGAGAGGAUGAUCCGCCACACUGGGACUGAGACACGGCCCAGACUCCUACGGGAGGCAGCAGUGGGGAAUAUUGGACAAUGGGCGGAAGCCUGAUCCAGCCAUGCCGCGUGUGUGAAGAAGGCCUUUUGGUUGUAAAGCACUUUAAGCGAGGAGGAGGCUACUAGUAUUAAUACUACUGGAUAGUGGACGUUACUCGCAGAAUAAGCACCGGCUAACUCUGUGCCAGCCGCCGCGGUAAGAC
rnacentral:rRNA from 1 species